rnacentral:misc_RNA from 1 species
GAAAUGCGAUAAUUAAUGUGAAUUGCAGAAUUCAGUGAAUCAUCGAGUCUUUGAACGCACAUUACGCCCCCUGGUAUUCCGGGGGGCAUGCCUGUCCGAGCGUCAUUGCUGCCCUCAAGCACGGCUUGUGUGUUGGGCUUCCGUCCCUGGCAACGGGGACGGGCCCAAAAGGCAGUGGCGGCACCAUGUCUGGUCCUCGAGCGUAUGGGGCUUUGUCACCCGCUCCCGUAGGUCCAGCUGGCAGCUAGCCUCGCAACCAAUCUUUUUAACCAGGCUGACCUCGGAUCAGGUAGGGAUACCCGCUGAACUUAAGC